rnacentral:tRNA from 1 species
GGGGUGGUAGCUUAAUUGGUAGAGCGUUUGAUUGUCGAUCAAGCCGGUGAGGGUUCAAGUCCCUCUCAUCCCGCCA